AACGAACGCUGGCGGCAGGCCUAACACAUGCAAGUCGAGCGAGGACUUCGGUCCUAGCGGCGGACGGGUGAGUAACGCGUGGGAACGUGCCCUUUGCUUCGGAAUAGCCCUGGGAAACUGGGAGUAAUACCGGAUGAGCCCUUUGGGGGAAAGAUUUAUCGGCGAAGGAUCGGCCCGCGUUGGAUUAGGUAGUUGGUGGGGUAAUGGCCUGCCAAGCCGACGAUCCAUAGCUGGUUUGAGAGGAUGAUCAGCCACACUGGGACUGAGACACGGCCCAGACUCCGACGGGAAGCAGCAGUGGGGAAUCUUAGACAAUGGGGGAAACCCUGAUCUAGCCAUGCCGCGUGAGCGAUGAAGGCCUUAGGGUUGUAAAGCUCUUUCAGCUGGGAAGAUAAUGACGGUACCAGCAGAAGAAGCCCCGGCUAACUCCGUG
rnacentral:rRNA from 1 species